UACAGAGGGGGCAAGCGUUAUUCGGAAUUAUUGGGCGUAAAGGGCGCGUAGGCGGCCUGGCAAGUGGAAGGUGAAAUCCCUCGGCUUAACCGAGGAACUGCCCUCCAAACUGCUUGGCUUGAGUCCGGGAGAGGUGAGUGGAAUUCCCAGUGUAGCGGUAAAAUGCGUAGAUAUUGGGAGGAACACCAGUGGCGAAGGCGGCUCACUGGACCGGAACUGACGCUGAGGCGCGAAAGCGUGGGGAGCAAACGGG
rnacentral:rRNA from 1 species